rnacentral:lncRNA from 1 species
UUCAUGAUUUUAUUGUAAUUUAUAAAUAGAAUUAGAAGCAUAUAGGAGCACAUUGAGUUGUUGAAUAUAUGAUGUCAUUUGAUUAGAAAUAAACAAUAACAAAUAUAUGUUCCUGAAUUUUUCAUUCAAAUGGAAUUUAUAUCCCUUUCCAAAGGUAGGAAAAGGGAAAAAAUCUUUACAAAUCUAAAUGAUGACUAUUGUACAAAAUGUCUCUAUGUCAGUCUCUAUUUCUGUUGUGGAUUUAUAGUCCAUUCAAGCGAGAAGUGAUAUGCAAGAAAGCAUCUUCUGUGCAAGGAAUUGUGAGGCCACCCAUCGGAUGAUCGUAUCCAAAUUCUUCCUCUACUUGACUCAGCAAGUCUUGAAAUGACGGUUGGUUCAAGUAAGACAUAGGGAUCACAAACCGCUUCAUUUUUUCUCCAAUAUAGACUGCAAGAUAUCCUUUUGGGACAUUCACAGCUUUUGAAGAAGCACGUCUAAUGGCAGGUAAAAGGAAACCCAUUUCAAAUGUUUUGAAGAAUAGGUCGAGUUUUUCAGAUGUAAGAAAAAAGUAUCUAAGUUGUAAAGGAGGAAAGUGUAUUUAUAGUUUCAAGAGCUUCUUGAAAUUCAUUUGCUAGAGAAAUUAUUGGACUCAUGAGACAAGAGACCACAUGGUGCUGUCUUAGAAGAGUGAAAACCACGGGCGGCCACACAAAUAUAAAGAGCUAUGCUCAUUCCAACUCAGUAUUUUUCAAACAUGCAUCAGACAUGGCACAUGUUCUCUUCAUAUUGAUAACACAACUUAAUGCUGAUGAAUGGUCACCUCAAAUAUUAUGAGAAAUAUCAGUCAUACAUUACUAACACGCUAUUUAUAAAUUGUUGUUUCUCUAGACCAUGUUCAUGUAGGGCCUAGUUGGAGAAAAUGAAGGCUACGGUUCACAACAGCUUCCAAGUAGAUUUCAUGGUUUAUUGAUUAAAUUUCAAUCAAUAAUAGGCACAAGUUGUCCUAUCCUAUUGAAUCAAGGACAAAAUACUUGAUAAGUAUGUUNNNNNNNNNNNNNNNNNNNNNNNNNNNNNNNNNUCUUCAUUAAAAACCUCCAAGACAGUGCCAUGUGAUCAUUAAUGAGUCUUGUCUCCAACGAAACCCCAUUGGUUUCCAAAGUCUAUAUAUACACUCAUCAUUGGGUUUAUAAGCAACACAAAUCAUUCUUACCAGAAUUCAAGCUCAAUUUUUUUCUUCUAUUACUUCUUUGAGAUCAUUUGGUGUGUGUAGAAACAAAACAAUAAUGGGUUUUCGCUUACCUGGUAUUAGACGAUCAUCAUCUAGCAAACAAAUGGAAGUGCCAAAAGGCUAUCUUGCAGUGUAUGUUGGAGAGAAAAUGAAGAGGUUCUUGAUUCCAGUAUCAUUCUUGAAUGAGCCUUUAUUUCAAGAAUUGCUAAGCCAAUCUGAAGAGGAAUUCGGUUACAGUCAUCCAAUGGGUGGUCUUACAAUUCCCUGCAAUGAAGAUGUCUUCUUACAUACAGCUUCUCGCUUGAACAACUUGUAACUUGUUCAUACUGCAAAAUAGUCAAAUGAAUUAUAACAUAAGCAUAGCACAGUAGGAUAGACUAGUUGAGACAACUUUUGUACAUGAGGAAUUUCUUUCUCAAUUUUGCUGUUCCUUCUUAAGUGGGAAUUUGAAAUGAGAAUUUAUCAAACUCUAUUCUUCUGAAUUCAUCUGUUGUUUUUGUGUCAUCUAAAAUACUUUCAUUGCAGAAACACAAGCUAUGUACUAAUUUUACGGAUACUGUCUAUUACAUACUAGUAGGUACAUGGUAAUGCAAAAUUGAUGCAAAAUUGGUAUGUGUUACGAGUUCAUAGAACAAAACUCUAAACAAAUAAAUUUUUAAACCAAAACCUUUCUUAUCCUAUAAAGAUUUUCAACUUGAUUGGAACAUAUCACAUAAUAAAACUUCUUAUCAAUUAAUUAUUAAGUUGGAUUUUUCUGGUAAUAAGACGUCAAAGUUGAAGUCCUAAAACACAAAAUUAUCGUCAAGGCACCUUUUAAUACAUUGCCGCCUCAACUAUUCAUGAAAGUGUAUGUUAGCUGAGAGUCGAAACUAAGCCAAAAAAAGUUGUUAAAAGUCAUCUCAAUUCUGUAAAUCUAUAGAAACUCAUCCAAACUAGGCCGUACUGUCUUGCCUACUUAUGUAUGUUUAUCAAUUUUAAAUGGAGAGCUUUGACUUGUCUGAUACUUGGGCAGUAAGUCAUCAACUGUAUGAUAGUUUGGCUCUGAUACUUGAGCAAUAGUCCUCUUUAUAGUCAUGCCAAAGCAGUUGUUUUUAUACUUUCUUUAAAAGACUACAUUUAUCUAAAAUGGAAUAUACAGGAAUGUUGAAAUUAAGAAUUCAAUUUUCAGGAUACAUACAAUAUUUCUAUUACUUGUAGGUUCAAACAUGUACUGCUAUCUUCUGACUACUAACCAAUCCUUUGAUGAAGGUUCACUGUUGCCUCCUAACAUAAGUAUUUCAAACUCACUCCUUAAUUAAAUCAUAAUCACAUAACAUGAAGUGUACAGUAACUCAACAAAGGUGUCAACUCUACACUGUCGCUAGCUAUACAUUUUUGUCAAAAUAGCUGGACCCUUUGUUUUAUGUAUGUAUGAUUGUAUUGGCAUGGUUUGAGUGUGAGGGACAAAGUUUCUUAUUGGUUUUUAUCAUCCGAAACAUAACUCACUGAGAGGGAGUCUUUGCUUCUGCGAAGGAAGGUUGAGUGUGAGGGACUUAAUGCUUGAGUUAUGGAUAUCCAUAUUUUUUUAGACAUGCAUUAGACACGUCACAUGUUCUCUUCUCGAGAUAUAGCUCAAUCUCAAGAUAUAGAAACAAAAACUUCUCUUAGUGAUGAAUUUUAAGUCAAAUAAUAGCUACAAAUAUAAGAUAUACUGCCAUGAAUAAAAGACCAACUGAGAUGGCUGGACCCAGAGAGCUGGCAAUGGAAGACUUUUCAUAAUUGGGUCAAGAAGUGGUAAACCAGAACUCUAUUAUUUGAUUUGAUGGGUUUAGCUUCUGUUUUAGGCUCUAAUUAAUUGUGUGUCUAUAACAUUAAUACAUGCUUUGUGCAGACUCUAAAUCUGUUGGUAUAUAAGUUGGGGAAAUGAGAUGGAUGAGUCCAUGAAAUUUGGUUCCACAAUUGUAGCAGACAUUUACUAAAACAGCUAAAAGUAAAAAGUCUUCCUUAGAGUGAUUACACAUUUUUUUCCACAAUCCUAUAAUGAGUGCAAAUGGAGUAUAUCCUUUUUAUCAUUACACUUUUUCAUAGGUUGGGUUUGCGUAAGUUGAUGAUAUUUGGAGGAGCUUGUUAUUAUUUAUUAGGGUAAUUGCACUGCCUUGUUGAAGAAGCAAUUGAUAGAAGCACAAGGCAUGUAAAAAAUUGUGAGCUUAUAUACAAGAUAUAUAGCUUAUCAACUAUUAGAGUUUGGAUGAACGUUUUAUUAGGUCAGAGAAGUUUGCAGGAAUAUUCUAGCUCAAUUUUGUGCACAGCACAUACCCUACUAUCAUCAUUAUAAUAAACCAAGGAAAACUGGAUAUUGUAUAAUAAUUUAUUUCUCUUUUCCAAGGAAUCACUGGUUUUAUAAUUUAUAAAUAGAAUCAUAUAGGAGCAAAUUGAGUUGUUGAAAUAUAUUGUCAUUAUAAUUAGAAACAAAUAAUAACAUGAUUUGUUCCUGAAUUUGUCAUUCAGAUGGACAAUUCUAACCCAUUCCAAAGAUAGGAAAAGGCAAAAAAAAAACUUCACAAAUCUAAAUGAUGACUAUUGUACAAAAUUUUCCGGCUAAUCUAUGUUUCUCUGGUUACUGCUAAUCUAUGUUUCAGUGUAAGAUUUAGAGUCUAUUGAAGCCAGAAGUAAUAUGCAAGAAAAUUUCUUCUGUGCACGGAAUUGUGAGACCACCCAUUGAAUGAUCAUAUCCGGACUCUUCUUCUGCUUGACUCAGCAAGUUUUGAAAUGAAGGUUGGUUCAAGUAUGAGGUGGGGCCGUUUCAUUUCCUCUCCGACGUACACUGCAAGAUAGCCCUUUGGGACAUUGAAUACUUUUGAUGAGGUUUGGCUAUUGCUAAAUGAAGCCCGUCUAAUAGCUGCAGGUAAACGGAAACCCAUUUCAAAUGUUUUGAAGAACAAGCUGAAUUUCUCAGAUGUAAUGAAAAUGUAUCUAAGUUUGUUUUCU